GACGAACGCUGGCGGCGUGCUUAACACAUGCAAGUCGAACGGAAAGGCCCUGCUCUUGCGGGGUGCUCGAGUGGCGAACGGGUGAGUAACACGCGAGUAACCUGCCCCUGACUUUGGGAUAACUUCAGGAAACAGGGGCUAAUAUCGGAUAGGAGCUCCUGCUGCACGGUGGGGGAUGGUAAGUGUCGGCGGUUGGGGAUGGUCUGGCGGCUUAUCAGCUAGUUGGUGGGGUAGUGGCUGACCAAGGCUUUGACGGGUAGCCGGCCUGAGAGGCUGACCGGGGACCAUAGGCCUGAGGGACGGACCAGACGCGUACGGGAGGCAGAAGUGGAGAGUAUUGCGCAAUGGGCGGAAGCGUGAUACGACGACGCCGCGUGCGGGAUGACGGCUUACGAGUUGUGAACCAAUUUCGCCUGUGACGUGGAGUGAGUGACGGUAAUGGGUAAAGAAGCACCGGCUAACUACGUG
rnacentral:rRNA from 1 species